ensembl:lncRNA
CACAGAGAAACAUUAGAGCUCACACUGAAACGGAGCUACAGCUCUGUGUCUUGUAGAAGAUUUAUUUUCAAAGCUACAUGUGUGACGGUAAUAAUCCGUACCAGAGCAGACCUCAUUAGCACUUCCGCUAGGUCGACUAACCUUUCCGGUCACUUCAGGGACGCUGUUGUCGAGUGAAAGUAGCAGUUCCUCCUGAAGGUCAGAGAUUGCAGCAUCUGAGGGCCUCUUCAAAAGAAGACGUAGUUGAUGAAGGCGUUCUGGAGCGGGACCAGAAAGACCACGACCAAGCAGCCUUGAGAUCUUAGACAGCGUCUCCCUCAGACCAAAGAACUACAGACUCUUCACAACCUGCUCAAACUCUUGGUACAGGACCUCACCACACGGGUCAAGAAGGUUUCUGUCUCAUUUCUACUCUGAAGCUCACCUUCUCCUGCUCAAACUGCUGACAAAUGUUUCUGCUGCUCUAAAGUCUGGUCUCCAGAACUUCCUAAAAAC